ACAUGCCUACAACAUAGAAUUAAUGAAGUGGAUCACAUUAGAACUCCAUAGUUAAGUGCGCUCAGUCUAGAUUAGUACUGGGAUGGGUGACCACUCAAGAAGUCCUACUGUUUUACAUGCC
rnacentral:rRNA from 1 species